UACGGGGGGGGCAAGCGUUGUUCGGAAUUACUGGGCGUAAAGGGCUCGUAGGUGGCCAACUAAGUCAGACGUGAAAUCCCUCGGCUUAACCGGGGAACUGCGUCUGAUACUGGAUGGCUUGAGAUUGGGAGAGGGAUGCGGAAUUCCAGGUGUAGCGGUGAAAUGCGUAGAUAUCUGAAGGAACACCGGUGGCGAAGGCGGCAUCCUGGACCAACACUGACGCUGAGGAGCGAAAGCCAGGGGAGCAAACGGG
rnacentral:rRNA from 1 species